CAGCCUCAGGAAUUCUUGGCUUCCCUCUGGAUUUUGACGACUUUAUAAAAGGUGGUGUUGCCCUGAAGGAGUCCAUGGUAGUCAUCUCCGGACUCACUGCCAGCAGGAUGGAUACUCAUGAUGACUUAAAGAAUAGAAGUUUUAUUCCAGUAGACACACACACCCAGAGCUACCUGCCCAGUGCCAUCUCUGGACACGUGGAUGGAGGACCAGACCAAGGACACAAGACUCAGUGUGACUCUGCAUUGCAGUCUGCAAGCCAGUGAACCACAGAUUUUUCUACAAACACCUCCUUCUAAUUCCUCCACUGAAGGAGCAACUAGGAACUCCCACUGCUAGAAAAUGAAGCCAGAGUCUUGCACAUCCAUAGUUCUGGGUUAGAAAACAUAAGCCCCAGGUGAAGUGCAUUUGGAGGAUCUCUGCCAUCUGAUGUGAAUGAAGACCCCUGUCACAAAGUCAUCUGUAUGACCUACUUGCUUCUUGCCGCUAAGGAAUUGUCCAGGACUCAUGUAACAACUUCAAACUCAGGCACAUUCCUCGAGCUGUGUGAGGAAGCUUGCACAUUGCCUGACCACAUUAUAUCUGCCUCUAGGCAGUGUUAUCACUCCUUCCCUUCCAUAUGCUUA